AUCUAAUGAUGACUUAGUAUUUGCUAUCUGAUAGGUAUGCUGACAAACCUAUACCACCAAGAUCUCUGAGAGAU